GUGACCUUGUUGUCCCGGUGUGUGGUGUGUGCCUAGUCUCAGGCCUAUCCGAAGAUCGGAAAUAAUGAACUCUGAGCUCGUUCCGUAGGGUAACGUCUGGCUGUCUCGUCAGAGACUGCAGCAGAUAAAACAGUGAAACCCACACACAGAGCUACUUUUGGAGUGGCUUCUCCUUAGGCAAUUAAUGACAUAAGUAUAUCUAGUAAUUAAACCCGGUGAAUAGAACGCACACACACACACACACACACACACACACACACACACACACACACACACACAUUAAGAAAAAAGGAAGAAAGAACAAAGGACUUUACUAGCAUUCAUAGGAUUAUUGAUCCUAUCAGGUCACGAGCGUCUGGCAGCGCUCAAUGCGAGAUCUGCCAGGCUGUAGUGACCUUGGGGAAGGCCCUCGUAUAGCAAGGAGGCCUUGGCACUUAUAUUCACAAAUAAUAAAAAAAAUUAAAUUAUUAUAGCGCAUGGGAAGUCUUGGCAUUCGGUAGUUAUAAAUACUUGUAAUCACAAUGACAUGAAGCCACAUUACAUCACAAAAGUCUCCCGACGGUCUCUAGCUUCCUUGAUCGAGUCCAUGGAACCAUGAUUAAUUAGGAUAAUACUCGGUGAUGUGUGUGUGUCCCACGCCUUGUAUAUGGUCGCCUCAGUUCCGCCGUAACGUUGUCCUCAUUCAUUUAAAUAAAUAAGUUAUUGCGGCAUUGAAGGAUGUUUGUACAAUUCUAGUGCUACUUUAAGAACAAGCCUGCCACGUCAUUGGAACAAAUACCCUUGAGAAGCCAUGCAGCUAAAACUGAAACUGAUCAGAGAAGCAAACAGUUAAGGAGAGGUAGGCUAGGUUGUGAUUGUCUGAGGGCAACCACUUAUAAAGAGUCGUGCCGCAACGGAAUGCCAGUCAGUUUGCUAAUCACGGGCUCUCAGUGCGGAGCGACAGGCAGCAGGGGUUUCAAGGCCAGAAGUAUAAGGAGUCAAACCAUAUAUACAUAUAUAUAUAUAUAUAUUUUUUUUCUUUUGUCUUCAGACUUGGUGGCUGUGCGAUGGGCGUGGAGACGUGGGUGUUACUGGCAACGUUGGCGGUGCUGGCGUGGGCCUAUUCCAAGUGGCGCCACAACCAUUGGUCUUCGAAAGGCGUACCCAGUCCACCUGCCUUGCCUUUUAUCGGACACUUCCACAAGGAAUAUUUCGUUGGCAAGAAUACACUGGAAUUCUACCAAGAGGUGAAUCUUAUAGUUUGCAGUGACUGU